UACAGAGGGUGCAAGCGUUUGUUCGGAAUUAUUGGGCGUAAAGGGCGCGUAGGCGGUGCGGUAAGUCCGCAGUGAAAUCUCUGGGCUCAACUCAGAGUCUGCUGUGGAAACUGCCGUGCUAGAGUGUGGGAGAGGUGAGUGGAAUUCCCGGUGUAGCGGUGAAAUGCGUAGAUAUCAGGAAGAACACCCGUGGCGAAAGCGGCUCUCUGGAACGGGUACUGACGCUGAGACGCGAAAGCGUGGGGAGCGAACAGG
rnacentral:rRNA from 1 species